rnacentral:rRNA from 1 species
AGCGAACGCUGGCGGCAGGCCUAACACAUGCAAGUCGAACGAACUCUUCGGAGUUAGUGGCGGACGGGUGAGUAACACGUGGGAACGUGCCUUUUGGUUCGGAAUAACUCAGGGAAACUUGUGCUAAUACCGAAUGUGCCCUUCGGGGGAAAGAUUUAUCGCCAUUAGAGCGGCCCGCGUCUGAUUAGCUAGUUGGUGAGGUAACGGCUCACCAAGGCGACGAUCAGCAGCUGGUCUGAGAGGAUGACCAGCCACACUGGGACUGAGACACGGCCCAGACUCCUACGGGAGGCAGCAGUGGGGAAUCUUGCGCAAUGGGCGAAAGCCUGACGCAGCCAUGCCGCGUGAAUGAUGAAGGUCUUAGGAUUGUAAAAUUCUUUCACCGGGGACGAUAAUGACGGUACCCUGAGAAGAAGCCCCGGCUAACUUCGUG